UACGAAGGGGGCUAGCGUUGCUCGGAAUCACUGGGCGUAAAGGGUGCGUAGGCGGGUCUUUAAGUCAGGGGUGAAAUCCCGGAGCUCAACUCCGGAACUGCCAUUGAAACUGUGAGACUUGAGUAUGAGAGAGGUGAGUGGAAUUCCCAGUGUAGAGGUGAAAUUCGUAGAUAUUGGGAAGAACACCGGUGGCGAAGGCGGCUCACUGGCUCAUUACUGACGCUCAGGCGCGACAGCGUGGGGAUCAAACAG
rnacentral:rRNA from 1 species